rnacentral:rRNA from 1 species
UACGUAGGGUGCGAGCGUUAAUCGGAAUUACUGGGCGUAAAGCGUGCGCAGGUGGCUGAGUCAGUCGAUUGUGAAAGCCCCGGGCUCAACCUGGGAAGUGCAUUGGAUACUGUAAGACUUGAAUACGGGAGAGGGCAGUGGAAUUCCUGGUGUAGGAGUGAAAUCCGUAGAUAUCAGGAGGAACACCGGUGGCGAAGGCGGCUGCCUGGACCGAUAUUGACGCUGAGACGCGAAAGCGUGGGUAGCAAACAGG